rnacentral:rRNA from 1 species
UACGUAGGGUGCGAGCGUUGCCCGGAUUUAUUGGGCGUAAAGGGCGCGUAGGCGGCUACGCACGUCCGUUGUGAAAUCGCUCGGCUCAACUGGGCGGGGUCAGCGGAUACGGUGUAGCUGGAGCAAGCUAGGGGCAAUGGAAUUCCCGGUGUAGUGGUGGAAUGCGUAGAUAUCGGGGAGGAACACCAGUGGCGAAGGCGGUUGCCUGGAGCUUUGCUGACGCUGAGGCGCGGAAAGCGUGGGGGAGCGAUCGG